GGAGCCAACGUUGAAAUACCACCCUGGUGUGUUUGAGGUUCUAACCUUGGCCCGUUAUCCGGGUUGGGGACAGUGUAUGGUAGGCAGUUUGACUGGGGCGGUCUCCUCCCAAAGCGUAACGGAGGAGUUCGAAGGUACGCUAGGCACGGUCGGAAAUCGUGCUGAUAGUGCAUAGGCAUAAGCGUGCUUGACUGCGAGACUGACAAGUCGAGCAGGUACGAAAGUAGGACUAAGUGAUCCGGUGGUUCUGUAUGGAAGGGCCAUCGCUCAACGGAUAAAAGGUACUCCGGGGAUAACAGGCUGAUACCGCCCAAGAGUUCACAUCGACGGCGGUGUUUGGCACCUCGAUGUCGGCUCAUCACAUCCUGGGGCUGUAGCCGGUCCCAAGGGUAUGGCUGUUCGCCAUUUAAAGUGGUACGUGAGCUGGGUUUAAAAACGUCGUGAGACAGUUUGG
rnacentral:rRNA from 1 species